CGGCGGCGGCGGCGGCGGGGACGAGCUCCUUGACGAGGAAGACGGCGGCGGCCCCGCCGUCGCCGAGCUGCUUCAAGAUUCGGAAUCGGUUCUCGUUGAUCCACACAUCGCCGCCGCUCCCCACGGCCCCGUAGAUCGCGUUGAGCCCGGAGAACGAGCACCCCAUCGUCGCCUCCUCUCUCUCUCUCUCUCCCUCUUAAUUUCUCUCUCUAAAGCGAACUUAUAUUACAUACCUUUUU
rnacentral:lncRNA from 1 species